CACAAAUAUUAUAAUUAAAUUUUUUUAAUGAAAGUUAAAAUAAAAAAGAUAAAAAAGAAAAAUAAAUUUUUAAGUAAAAUUUAAAUUUUAUUUAAAAUUUUUAUAUAUAAAAUUUUUGAAGCUUAGAAAAUUUAAUUUUUAAACUAGGAUUAGAUACCCUAUUAUUUGAAUUGUUAAUGAUAAACAUUUAGGUAGUAAUAAUUAAUUUUUUAAAACUUAAAAAAUUUGGCGGUAUUUUAUUCUGUUUAGAGGAACUUGUUCUGUAAUUGAUAAUCCACGAAUAUUUUACUUUUUUUCGUUUUCAGUUUAUAUAUCGUUGUCAUAAGAAUAUUUUAAUAGAAAAAAUAAUUUUCAGGAUUUUAAAUUAAAAAGAAUGUCAAAUCAAGGUGUAGUUUAUGGAAAAGUAGAAAUGAGUUACAAUAAAAUUUAUUUAUAAUGGAUAAUUUUUUGAAAAAGAGGUUUGAAGGUGGAUUUAAAAGUAAAUUAAUUGAUAAAAAUUAAUUGAUUAGAGUUUUAAAAUAUGCACAUAUCGCCCGUCGCUCUCGUUAUUUAUAUAUUAAAUGAG
rnacentral:rRNA from 1 species